UCCUCCCAGCUUGUGGACGGACGCCGUCUUGCUGUGUGCUCCUGUGACCUCUUUGUGAAUGGGGAGAGCUGGGGGGCCGCGGCGGGGAAGAGAGUUACUCUCUCGUAUCUCUUCUUAUAGGGACACUAAUCCUGUUGGUUCAGGGCCACUACCUAUAGGACCUCAUUUAACCUUAAUUACCUCCUUAUAGGUCCUAUCUCCAAACACAGUCACAUUGGGGGGUUAAGGCUUUCCACAUAGGAAUUUUGGAAGGACACAAUUUGGUCUGCAGUGCUUGCCAAGUUGCCUCUUACUCUGCUGUCUGAAAACAAUAAUAACAAAGAAUAAUAUGUUUGAAGGUACUUCCAAAAGUAGGAAGCGCUGUCCCCACGUGAAGGGGUCAUUUUAAUUUAUUCAGCUCAUGUUACUUGGAGUCAAAUAGUGGUGUUAAAAGAGACCAUAGAGGACAUAGAAGGAGAGAGUCAUCUUCCCGAAGUUUACAUUUGUUUCCUCUAUUUUUUUCCGGGAUGGUUUUCUAAAGAAUUUUCUGUGAGGCAACUUCUUGCCAUUUGGAGCUAUUACAUUCUCUUACUGCUCCCUUUCUCUUGCAGGGUAAAAGUUAAGACUAUUUCUAAGUUCAAUUCAGUGAUUCCAUGUACCUUAUGGGAUACAUUGGUGUUCAGUCACUGGGGAAAACGUUAAAGUGGUAAAAGUUAUUAUGAAAGUAUUGUAUUCUAAGCAAAUAGGGUGUCGCUUCUAUAAUUCACUGUGACUUUUGAUUCCUGUUGUUACCUGGUACCUGUCAUUCCUCCUGAGCUUCCCAUUCAGGAAUGCGUGCAAACCAUUUAGCACCACGCAGAGCCAGAGAGAUGGAAUGCUGUAUUCACUUUGAAUAGCUAUUAAGAAAACCGCCGAGUAUUCAAUGAAGGGAUGGGUACUGGUUAGACCGAGCAGUUUGUAGUCUGUCCUCGAUGCAUGAAACAUUUCAUGUGUGUGUGUUGAAAGGACAGAUGGCUACUCACGGGGUCUGCAGCCUUUCACCAUUGGGCCUGCAUCUACUUUUACAUUUCUGAAAGUCACAGAAAGCCUGCAUUUUUUCCCCAUCAUUAGGCUUGACCUCUGCUGCCCUCGUUGCCUCUCAGCAGGUGGCUGCCCAGGCAUCUGCAUCAGGAAUGUUUCCUGCACAAAGAAGAGAAUAACAAGAUUGGAAAUGUACGUUGUCAUGUGACUGGAUCACAUGGGGAAGCGCUUUAUACAGACAUCAGUUCCAUGGUGUUAAUUUGAAAUGCCUUAAUGGCAGGCAAAAACCAGUCAUUUCAUUUUUGUAAAUUACAGAUUUUAUCAGAGAGUAACAAAUGUUGCUGUAAUUAAACUUCUGUUUUAUAUAUAUAUAUAUAUAUAUAUAUACGUAUACAUAUAUGUAUAUACACACACACGCACACGCACGCACACGCACGCGCGCACACACACACACACACACACACACACACACACAUAUAUAUUCUAUACUUUUUGUAUCAGUAACCAGGCUCGCACACACAGGGUCUGCUGCCGGGUCGCAAACUGCUCAGUAAAGGAGAUAAAAGAUGUGCUUGUCAAACUGAGAAGUGUUAGCCACGGAAGGCUGCUUACUUUCUUUUCCUUUUGCUUUUCAAUUGUAAAUAAAUAAUGUUAUGUAUCA